CUCUACUAAAAAUACAAAAAAUUAGCUGGGCUUGGUGGCGCGUGCCUGUAAUCCCAGCUACUCGGGAGGCUGAGGCAGGAGAAUUGCCUGAACCCAGGAGGCGGAGGUUGCGGUGAGCUAAGAUCGUGCCAUUGCACUCCAGCCUGGGUAACGAACGAGCGAAACUCCGUCUCAAAAAAAAAAUAUAUAUAUAUAUAUAUUAUUACCAAACAGGAGGAGUUGGUGUUCAUCCCAAGUUCAUCCCAGCCUCUUUCAUAAGUUCUCUCAGAUCAGCCUGAAGGGUUUAUUGAAAGCAUUCAGUUUUCUAUUGCUGCCACCAUCAUUUUCACCUCCUGUCAUGAUUCUGAGGCCUCCCCAGCCAUGUAGAACUGUAAGUCCAAUUAAACCUACUUUUUCUUUCCAGUCUUGGGUAUGUCUUUAUCAGCAGUGUGAAAAGGGACUAAUACAGAGUUCUUGAUAAAUUUUAGGUAUCAACCCAUUAUAAGAUUUGUGGUUUGCAAUUAUUUUUUCCCAGGCCAUAGGUUGUCUUUUCAUUUUGUUGAUUGUGUCCUUUACUGUGAAGAAGCUUUUAAGUGUGAUAUAGUCUUAUUUAUUUAUUUGUGUUUUGGUGGCUUGAAAUUUUGAUGUUAUAUCCAAAAAACAUUGCCAAGGCUACUAUUGAGGACCUAUUCCUCUAUGUUCUCUUUUAGGAGGUUAAUGAUUUCAGGUCUUACAUUUGGUUUGGCUUUUUUUCACCUUCAUUUUGAGCUGCUUUUUGUGUAUGGUGUAAGGAUCCAAUUUCAUUUUUUUUGCAUGUAGAAAUAUAGUUUUCACUACACCAUUUAUUGAAGCAACUACUCUUUCCCCAUGAUGUCAUUUUGGUGCCCUGUCUAAAAUUAGUUCACCAUAUAUGUCUGAAUUUAUUUCUGGGCUCUCUAUUCUAGUCCAUUGGUUUAUGUUACUGUUUUUAUGCCAAUACCAUACUGUUUUGAUUACUAUAGUUUUGUAGUAUAACUCACAUCACUAAUCAUAAGGGAAAUACAAAUUAAAACACUAUGAGAUAUCACCAUACAACUCUAAGAAUGGCUAUUACAAAAAAGACAAGCAAUAACAAAUGGUGAUGGUGUGGAAAAAAGAGAACCUAGUAAACUGUUGGUGG
rnacentral:lncRNA from 13 species